rnacentral:misc_RNA from 1 species
AUGAAAGAAGAGAUGUUGUAUGAAAAAAGAAGAAAACUUUGAGUAAAAAUUUUAGAGAAAUUGAAGCCAAACAACAGCUAGUAAAGUGAUGCACGCAGAGACAAGAAAAAAAAAGGCAACAAUAAACUGUGCACGUGUAAAAAAAUGACAGAGGAAUCUUCAAAGUAACAGUCAUUACCGUUAUUUAACAGUCAGUAACGGCCUUAACGGCCAUUACACCUGCAAGUACCUAUUUGCUUGUAAAUAACGGCCUCAUGCAUGACAGCCCCCUUAAAAAACAGUAAAUAACGACCAUUACAUUACGUAACGGCCGUUAUUUGAAACCAUAGUACAAACUUCUUCCAGUCAAUCUUGCUACUACCAUACAUGAAGAUAGUAUUGUGUGUUCUCCGCAUUUGGCUUGUGAUCCUUCAGCACUUCAAGACUCGAGAACUGAGUUUUUUCCAACCAGGGGAAAAUAAUGUAGAAUAGAAAGUUUAGAAUUUUAUUUAGGAAU